rnacentral:rRNA from 1 species
AGCAGCCGCGGUAAUUCCAGCUCCAAUAGCGUAUAUUAAAGUUGUUGCAGUUAAAAAGCUCGUAGUUGAACUUCGAAAUUUGUUCAUUGGUCAGGCUUAACUGUUUGUACUGGUGUUACGAAUUUCUACCUUCUGAGGAAUCCUUAUGCCAUUAAUUUGGUGUUGGGGGGAAUCAGGACUGUUACUUUGAAAAAAUUAGAGUGUUUAAAGCAGGCUAACGUCUGAAUACAUUAGCAUGGAAUAAUAAAAUAGGACGGUAUGGUUCUAUUUUGUUGGUUUCUAGGACCACCGUAAUGAUUAAUAGGGAUAGUUGGGGGCAUUAGUAUUCAAUUGUCAGAGGUGAAAUUCUUGGAUUUAUUGAAGACUAACUACUGCGAAAGCAUUUGCCAAGGAUGUUUUCAUUAAUCAAGAACGAAAGUUAGGGGAUCGAAGACGAUCAGAUACCGUCGUAGUCUUAACCAUAAACUAUGCCGACUAGGGAUCGGAUGAUGUAAUUUUUAAUGACUCAUUCGGCGCCUUA